UUUCUUAUUUACUUUAUUAUGCAUGCAGCAUUGCCUCAUUAACCUAGCAGUUCCGCCUAGAUAGCGAUCAUCACAUGCCCAGAGACUACCUCACCGAGGGAGAAAUUAUCGCUCACCGGUAUUUAUAGUAGGCAUAUUGACCUAGGUUGUAAACUCAUGGUUUUAAUUUAAGCUAACUUGAAUUUCACUCUAUAUGUUACUCGCAAUAAAAUAUGAAGAAAAAUAAAAUAAAUAUGAAGAAAAAUAAAGAGUAAAGGGUUUUAUUUAUUUUACAAAGAUAUAGUUUGAGCCGCGGUGCAUUCUGGGAAACAUACGACGGGAUUCCGACAGUUGUUAAGCCUUGUUUCCAUUGAGCAAUCCGGUUCGGUCCUGUCCUGUCCCGAUCCGAAUACUCGUUGUGUCCGGAAUUAUUCUUUUUUAAGUUUCACACUCUAAACAGAGGGGUCCAAAGUCCGCUAUCACGAGAGUAAACCGCAUCGUGCGAAGAAGCUAUUUUCUUCCCUUUGGUGCGCUCUGAACCGCAGAUGUUUACAUUUAAAUAUGGUCGCUAUGUGGUUCCCGGACCAGGACCGACCGAAACCCACGGCCCAGACAUCUCAAGGCCACCGCGGGAUCCGGAGAGGCCUGCAAUGACGAGUUGGCGCGCAUUUUCUGCUGUGGGACAGUCAUCCGGAUUGGACCAAAGUGGAGUUCGGUCUCCCUGGUGCUUACAGCUUUGGAGGGUCUCUGGUGUUCCAGCAGGAGUCGGUCGUCACCUCAUCAUCUCAGCUGUUCAGCAUUGAAGCUCUGCAGCUUCCAGUGUUCAUCGACAGAUCGUUGCCUACCUUUGGAAUCCUUCAACCAUGAGAACCAACAACCAACCAUCCCUGGACCUCUCUGCUUAGCUGACUCACAGCCACAGACUCGGUUCUACCUGCUCACCGUGUCCUCCAGCUCCAGAAGGACAAAGGAACGCCGCUCACCUCCCCAUGUUUCCAGCACUUGGGUCCUUCUGGCCUCGUGAAACCAUGACAGCUACUUCAACAUGUAAUGUGAUAACCAAAUCUUCCAUUAAUGCUGAUGCUGGCAGGUGUUUUAUUGUGGAGGUCAGUGAUUUAUUCUUCAUUUUCUUUAAGGUGUUGCUGUAACUGAAUCAGUCAUUGCUAUCAUACAAAACUCCAUCAGAGCAGAAGGAGUGAAGUCAUUGUUUCCUUAAUCUUUAGUCUUUUCAUGAGAACCAAACAGUCUGGAGUCUUUUCUUAU